rnacentral:rRNA from 1 species
CGCAUCUGUGCAUGCAGCAUAUCAAUAAGCGGAGGAAAAGAAACUAACAAGGAUUCCCUUAGUAACGGCGAGUGAAGCGGGAAGAGCUCAAAUUUGAAAUCUUCAAGGUUUUACCUUGACGAAUUGUAGUUUAAAGAAGUGUUUUCUGCUGAAGUUUUGGUAAAAGUUCUUUGGAAUAGGACAUCAUAGAGGGUGAGAAUCCCGUAUUUGACCAUUAUUUUCAGCUUUGUGAUACACUUUCAAAGAGUCGGAUUGUUUGGGAAUGCAGUCUAAAAUGGGUGGUAAAUUUCAUCUAAAGCUAAAUAUUGGCGAGAGACCGAUAGCGAACAAGUACCGUGAGGGAAGGAUGAAAAGAACUUUGAAAAGAGAGUUAAACAGUACGUGAAAUUGUCAAAAGGGAAGCGUUUGACACCAGUGUUGUUUUCUACGAAAAUCAAUUAAAAAUGGCUCGAUUUUGUAUUGCUGAGACCUUAAAAGCUCACUGUACAUUUUUCGUGUCUUUUUUAAUGCACUUUUCGUUUAACAAGUCAACAUCAGUUUCUUUUGUUGUAAAAGGGUCAUUGGAAGGUGGCUUUCUUUUCGGAGAAAGUGUUUAUAGCCUUUGGCCUCUGCAAUCGAAGAGACUGAGGUCUGCAGCGUAGACUCUUCGGGGUUAGAUACAUUUGUGCUAAGUUAUAGCUUUUUAUAGACAACUUGUUGACUAUAAUUAGUCUUGUAGCUUACUCGCUUAUGCUAUUUUACCUACGCUUAGGAUGUUGACGCAUGAGAUAUACGC